AGACAAGCAAUCAUCUCCUUGGACCAAAACCAUUUCCAUUAGACAGAUUAUUAGCAAUAUUAUAUAGUAUCGUGGACAGUAGAGUUGUUCCAACAGCAAAUAUCUUCUCCCAGAUUACCUCUCUGGUGACCCUUCAACUGUUAACCCUGGUUGGCCAUGACGAUCAGCUUGAUGGACCAAAAUACAAAUGCACAGUGUCUCUAGACUUCAUCAGAGCUAUUGCGAGGACGGUGAACUUUGACAUAAUAAAAUACUUGUAUGAUUUCUUGUGAAAACAAGCUUCAGAGCCAUAUGGACACUGUGACAAUGACUAAGCCAAGCUGUGUUCCUCCAACUAUUUAGCUGGCCAGGGAAAGGUGGUCUUUGGCUCUAUUGGAUUUGUCCAAACAGGUGCUGGCCCAGCAUGGAAUCUGAUGAAAAUAUUCUGAUUGGUCUGGGUGGAUGUGAGCAGAAGACUAUUUACCAGGGACCCUGGAGUAUUUGGAAGCAAUGUGUUAAUUAUAAACAGCAGGGUUUGAGCACAAUCUGUUCUACUCUUAAUGAUGUUAUCUUAACACUGAAAUUGCCUGAAACCCAUUUACUUAGGACUACAUUUUGCUGUGUGAACUAUCCCCUGCGCUUUGAACGUGCCAGCAGCCCUUGUUUAUAUGCCCAGUCUUUUCACUUCCUCUCCACGGGAGCCUCUGCAGUUGCUUGCCAAAGCAGAUUUUCCUAAGGCCACCCUUUUAAAAGAUCAUAGUUGCAAAAUAUAAUAAAUACAAGUUUUUUUGAAAAUCCAAGCUUGUAUACAUUUAUCUUUUCACUCAGUUUUCUCAAAAGGCAAGGUAGUUUGGUCAGAUAUAGAUCAACUUUCCAUCUCUAAGCCUCUAUGAUAUGUUUGUGUAAGAUUUAUCUGGUCACUCUUGUAAUUAACCACUCAACCUAGCUUUUUAUCAGCAUGAUGGUUUUAUUUUUCUCUCUCUCUCUCUCUCUCUCUGUAGUCAUUGGUCUUUAAGAGUUCCACAAUAAAAUUUUUUCCUGUUAUAUGAA